rnacentral:rRNA from 1 species
AUGACCCAACUUAUUCAAUCACUUCCAUUAUCUUUCUAUUGCUACAAAUCGACAACAAAAAACAUCCCUCGGAAUUCCUGUUCGAUAGGAAAAAAUAGCUCUUCAACCAGAAAUAGCAAGCAACAUGUUUUUCUUCUCUAUUCCGGGCACACACCUUAUCGGGUGACGCCACUGACAAACACCCUAAAGGGGAACGCAACACUUCCUAUAACAGAAAAAGCAAUAUCUGAAAUCUUUAAGCAACUAAAAAAGACGUAUACUAAAAGAUAUGUGUUGAAAAGGGAUGGUCAAUAA